rnacentral:rRNA from 1 species
GGGGGGGGGGGGGGGCGGGGCGGGGGGGGGGGGGGCGGGGGAAGGGAGGAGGAGCUUGCUGGGCUGACGUGGGCGGCGGACGGGUGAGUAACACGGGGAUAACCUGCCGAUAAGACGGGGAUAACUUCGGGAAACCGGAGCUAAUACCGGAGAAGAGAGUGAACCGCAUGGGUCAAUAGGGAAAGACGGUUUUGCUGACACUUAUAGAAGGAUCCGCGGAGCAUUAGCUAGUUGGUAGGGUAAAGGCUUACCAAGGCAAUGAUGCGUAGCCGAAUUGAGAGGUUGAUCGGCCACAUUGGGACUGAGACACGGCCCAAACUCCUACGGGAGGCAGCAGUAGGGAAUCUUCCACAAUGGGCGAAAGCCUGAUGGAGCAACGCCGCGUGGGUGAAGAAGGUCUUCGGAUCGUAAAACCCUGUUGUUAGAGAAGAAAGUGCGUGAGAGUAACUGUUCACGUUUCGACGGUAUCUAACCGGAAAGCCACGGCUAACUACGUG